rnacentral:rRNA from 1 species
UACGGAGGAGGCAAGCGUUAUCCGGAAUUAUUGGGCGUAAAGCGUCCGUAGAUGGUUUUGUCAGUCUGCUGUCAAAGCACAGGGCUUAACCCUGUAAAGGCAGUGGAAACUACAAGACUAGAGUGCAGUAGGGGCAGAGGGAAUUCCCAGUGAAGCGGUGAAAUGCGUAGAGAUUGGGAAGAACACCCGUGGCGAAAGCGCUCUGCUGGACUGCAACUGACAUUGAGGGACGAAAGCUAGGGGAGCGAAUGGG